rnacentral:tRNA from 1 species
GCGGGCGUGCUGGAAUUGGCAUACAGGCCGGGUUUAGGUCCCGGUGCUCACCCGAGCUUGAGGGUUCGAGUCCCUCCGCCCGUA